AAGAAGUCAGGCCGGAUUAAGCCAUAGUACGGUAAGAGCUAUGCUGCCUGUGAGCCCCGUCUAAGGACGUAAAAUGAAGUCAGGCCGAAAGCCACGGUUUGAGCAAACCGUGCUGCCUGUAGCUCCAUCGUGGGGAUGUAAAAACCUGGGAGGCUGCAACCCAUGGAAGCUGUACGCAUGGGGUAGCAGACUAGUGGGUUAGAGA
rnacentral:lncRNA from 1 species